AUUGAACGCUGGCGGCAGGCCUAACACAUGCAAGUCGAACGAGUGGCGGACGGGUGAGUAAGGUCUGGGAAACUGCCUGAUGGAGGGGGAUAACUACUGGAAACGGUAGCUAAUACCGCAUACCAUAAGAUGUGCCCAGAUGGGAUUGGCUCGUUGGUGGGGUAACGGCUCACAAAGGUGACGAUCGCUAGCUGGUUUGAUAGGAUGACCAGCCAUACUGGAACUGAGAUACGCUCCAGACUCCUACGGGAGGCAUGAGUGGGGAAUAUUGGAAAUAGGGCGCAAGCCUGAUGCAGCCAUGCCGCGUGUAUGAAGAAGGCCUUCGGGUUGUAAAGUAAUUGCAGCGGGGAGGCGUUACCCGCAGAAGAAGCACCGGCUAACUCCGUGCCAGCAGCCGCGGUAAUUC
rnacentral:rRNA from 1 species